CACGUGGUGUCAGGGGAGCGGACACAAAGCACAGAAACGUUACGGCUUUGUGGUUUCUUAUACUGCUGCAAUUUCCUCCUUUCUACCUCCAAAACACCAGUGAACGACGCUGGAUCCACGAGAGGACAAGAAGAAAAACGGAGGUUAUUUGGCUCCUGUGCUAUGGCAGCGUCUCCUGCGCCCCCACACGAGCUCGCCACAGCCAGCCCCCUACUUCCUUCAUCCUGCGGCCAAUGUCUGCUGGUCAUAGUGGUGCUUGCCUGUCUCACGGCUGUCUUCAUGGUCGCCUGCCUCUCGCUGUCCUUUAAGCUGUCUGUGAGGAACAUGCAGUCUCGUCGCAGUAGAGACAUCGCCGCCUCCUCUGUACCCCUGGAGUUAUGGGCAGCUCCCCCGACCUCACACAGCCAGACCAACCUACUAUGGCCCACAGAACCAGCGCCGUCACCUCUGCCUCCGCUCAAUAAUAACCGGGAAGAGGCCAAGUUCCGCCAGCCCCGGGUGACACUGCAUGACAUUGAUGAAUUCUGGUGGCGAAACUGCAGAGAUGUGUGACCGCGACUGUGUGGCGGCCAUCCUGGAAUAUAGCGAGAUCUGAUAGGACUGGCCGCUUGUAAACAUGGCAUCAAAUACGAGUGCCCGCCGUAUGAAAAUGUAUGCAGAUGGUUCAAGUCCUCUGUGUGUAUCUGCUUUACCAUUAAAGGGCGUGUAUACUUUUGAA